AGUCAAUAGAUACCCGGGUAGUCCUAGCCGUAAACGAUACUCGCUAGGUGUCGGCCACGGUGCGACCGUUGUCGGUGCCGUAGGGAAAGCCGUGAAGCGAGCCACCUGGGAAGUACGGCCGCAAGGCUGAAACUUAAAGGAAUUGGCGGGGGAGCACCACAACGGGUGGAGCUUGCGGUUUAAUUGGAUUCAACGCCGGAAAUCUUACCGGGACCGACAGCGAUAUGAAGGCCAGGCUGAAGACUUUGCCGGAUUAGCUGAGAGGUGGUGCAUGGCCGUCGUCAGUUCGUACUGUGAAAGCAUCCUGUUAAGUCAGGCAACGAGCGAGACCCACGCCCACAGUUGCCAGCGUACUCUCCGGAGUGACGGGUACACUGUGGGGACCGCCGCUGCUAAAGCGGAGGAAGGAAUGGGCAACGGUAGGUCAGUAUGCCCCGAAUAUCCCGGGCUACACGCGAGCUACAAUGGUUGGAACAAUGGGUAUCUACCCCGAAAGGGGAUGGAAAUCUCCUAAAUCCAAUCUUAGUUCGGAUUGAGGGCUGCAACUCGCCCUC
rnacentral:rRNA from 1 species